AUUUUGGUGGUGGAUGAGCCGAAUGUCAAUGUGUUUUGCUUGCCGGGUGGGAAGAUUGUGGUCUUCAUAGGGUUGCUCAAGAAUUUUAGAAGUGAUAUAUGCCGAUAUAGCUAUGAUAAUUGGUCAUGAGAUUGGGCAUGCCGUAGCUUGACACUAUCAAGAGGGCAUCACAAAGAGCCUGUGGGUUGCAAUCCUGCAACUGGUUCUUUAUCAGCUUAUUUCACCUGAUUUUGUCAACCCAUUAUCCAAUCUUUUCUUAAGGCUUCUUUUUUCCCGAAGUAAGGUUACUUUGAUGAUCAGUAUACUAGGACUCAACCGGACCAUGCGUGCAGUACUUAUUGACUGGCUUGUGGAGGUGAUUGAUCUUUGUUGAUAGCUUGAUGAGGUACUGUGUAAAGAGAAACUGAAGUUGAAUUCUGAUUGUAAUUUACGUGGCUCGACUUCUUCUCCCUUUAAGAUCAGGUUGCUGAAAGUGCUAUUAGCUUUGACUGAGGUUUCUGUUCCAUUAGAAGCUCUUCAACCUCUUUGGACCUCCAUGAACCGUAAAUCUUGGGGUAGAAAGUUACAUUCCUCGUCAUCAGCUGAAGACCUUCUCCAGGUUCUGGCAUCGCUGGACGGUGCCAUAAAGAUAGAAUAUUUAUCUUCAAACUCUGAGACUACCAGUGAGCUGCUAUAUUCCUCAAAUGAAAAAGGACGUACGUGUUACUAGCAAUUUUUCUUUUCCUGAUAGCGUUGUUGUGCUUCCAUGGAUACCACUUACAACAGUUGCUGUGGCUCUUAGGCUCAUGGAGUUUGAUAUAUGUGGCCAUCGUAAACAUGCUACAGAAGAAGCUGGAGACUCAAAAGAACAAGGAAUCUGAGAAUUUUAUAAAAUUAUGAGGAGAUCUGUGCACCCCUGGUUGAAGAAUUUUGUUACAUUACUUAUAGGGUCCCUUAUUGAUAACACAUGUUUUAAGGAAAGAGUGGGCAGUAAAGGCGCGCAAAUCAUAUAGCCAAAAUGAUAUUGACGAGGUGUGCAUUGAAGUGGCUGAUUAUAUACAGAGUUUGGUGUAAGACUUUUGACUUCCAUGAUUUUGAGUAAGGCUAGUUUUUGCUUUGAAGCAAAGUUUGGUGUAGAACGUACUUUUGUAGUUGGUUGCUAAUAUGUUUCUAAGCUAGCCUUUGUAGGUUUUGGGUUUUAUUUUGUGAAUUAUGUUGAAUCAUGAAUUUGGAAAGAAAAUUAAUGGAAAGCUCCAAUUUUUGGGUGAUGAGAAAUGUAUUUCUUUUUCCAGCAACUAGAUGAAAUCGAUGUCCUAUGAUUAUCAAUA